CCUACGGGGUGCAGCAGUGGGGAAUAUUGGACAAUGGGCGAAAGCCUGAUCCAGCCAUGCCGCGUGUAUGAAGAAGGCCUUCGGGUUGUAAAGCACUUUCAGUGGGGAAGAAAGCCUUGGGGCUAAUACCCUCGAGGAAGGACAUCACCCACAGAAGAAGCACCGGCUAACUCCGUGCCAGCAGCCGCGGUAAUACGGAGGGUGCGAGCGUUAAUCGGAAUUACUGGGCGUAAAGCGCGCGUAGGCGGUCUGAUAAGCCGGUUGUGAAAGCCCCGGGCUCAACCUGGGAACGGCAUCCGGAACUGUCAGGCUAGAGUGCAGGAGAGGAAGGUAGAAUUCCCGGUGUAGCGGUGAAAUGCGUAGAGAUCGGGAGGAAUACCAGUGGCGAAGGCGGCCUUCUGGACUGACACUGACGCUGAGGUGCGAAAGCGUGGGUAGCAAACAGGAUUAGAUACCCCAGUAGUC
rnacentral:rRNA from 1 species